rnacentral:rRNA from 1 species
UGGGGAAUAUUGCACAAUGGGCGAAAGCCUGAUGCAGCAACGCCGCGUGAGUGAUGAAGGCCUUCGGGUUGUAAAGCUCUGUCUUUUGGGACGAUAAUGACGGUACCAAAGGAGGAAGCCACGGCUAACUACGUGCCAGCAGCCGCGGUAAUACGUAGGUGGCAAGCGUUGUCCGGAUUUACUGGGCGUAAAGGAUGCGUAGGCGGAUUUUUAAGUGAGAUGUGAAAACCCUAAGCUUAACUUGGGGACUGCAUUUCAUACUGGAAAUCUAGAGUGCGGGAGAGGAGAAUGGAAUUCCUAGUGUAGCGGUGAAAUGCGUAGAGAUUAGGAAGAACACCAGUGGCGAAGGCGAUUCUCUGGACCGUAACUGACGCUGAGGCAUGAAAGCGUGGGUAGCAAACAGGAUUAGAUACCCUGGUAGUCCACGCCGUAAACGAUGAGUACUAGGUGUAGGAGGUAUCGACCCCUUCUGUGCCGCAGUUAACACAAU